rnacentral:rRNA from 1 species
CCUACGGGGCGCACCAGUGGGGAAUAUUGGGCAAUGGGCGGAAGCCUGACCCAGCAACGCCGCGUGAAGGAAUAAGGCCUUCGGGUUGUAAACUUCUUUUAUUAGGGACGAAGGAUGUGACGGUACCUAAUGAAUAAGCCACGGCUAACUACGUGCCAGCAGCCGCGGUAAUACGUAGGUGGCAAGCGUUGUCCGGAUUUACUGGGUGUAAAGGGCGCGUAGGCGGGAAUGCAAGUCAGAUGUGAAAUCCAUGGGCUCAACCCAUGAACUGCAUUUGAAACUGUGUUUCUUGAGUGAUGGAGAGGCAGGCGGAAUUCCUAGUGUAGCGGUAAAAUGCACAGAGAUUAGGAGGAACACCGGUGGCGAAGGCGACUUUCUGGCUGACAACUGACGCUGAGGCGCGAAAGCGUGGGGAGCAAACAGGAUUAGAUACCCUAGUA